CCUACGGGAGGCUGCAGUGGGGGAUAUUGCACAAUGGGGGAAACCCUGAUGCAGCGACGCCGCGUGGGUGAAGCAGUAUUUCGGUAUGUAAAGCCCUAUCAGCAGGGAAGAAAGAAGACGGUACCUGACUAAGAAGCCCCGGCUAACUACGUGCCAGCAGCCGCGGUAAUACGUAGGGGGCGAGCGUUAUCCGGAUUCACUGGGUGUAACGGGAGCGUCGACGGCCGUGCAAGCCAGGAGUGAAAGCCCGGGGCCCAACCCCGGGACUGCCCUUGGAACUGUGCGGCUGGAGUGCGGGAGGGGCAGGCGGAAUUCCUGGUGUAGCGGGGAAAUGCGGAGAUAUCAGGAGGAACACCGGCGGCGAAGGCGGCCUGCUGGACCGCGACUGACGUGGAGGCUCGAAAGCGUGGGGAGCGAACAGGAUUAGAUACCCGUGUAGUC
rnacentral:rRNA from 1 species